rnacentral:rRNA from 1 species
GUGGGGAAUCUUGCGCAAUGGGCGAAAGCCUGACGCAGCCAUGCCGCGUGAAUGAUGAAGGUCUUAGGAUUGUAAAAUUCUUUCACCGGGGACGAUAAUGACGGUACCCGGAGAAGAAGCCCCGGCUAACUUCGUGCCAGCAGCCGCGGUAAUACGAAGGGGGCUAGCGUUGCUCGGAAUUACUGGGCGUAAAGGGCGCGUAGGCGGAUCGUUAAGUCAGGGGUGAAAUCCCAGAGCUCAACUCUGGAACUGCCCUUGAUACUGGCGAGCUUGAGUGUGAGAGAGGUAUGUGGAACUCCGAGUGUAGAGGUGAAAUUCGUAGAUAUUCGGAAGAACACCAGUGGCGAAGGCGACAUACUGGCUCAUUACUGACGCUGAGGCGCGAAAGCGUGGGGAGCAAACAGGAUUAGAAACCCUGGUAGUCC